AAAAAAUAAACUAAUACACCCUUCUACUCAGCGUCAUUUUAAAUCAUAUGAAUUUUCCUUCGACUAAAAUACAUGCAUAUUUUUUUUCUUAAAAGAAAGUAAAUAAGUAAAACGAAAGGAAAAUGGUUAUAUUAAUAAUUCACAUGAAAAAAUUUAAAUAUAAGAAGAAGAAGAGUAGAAUAUUAGAAAUUGUUUGUUGUUGAA
rnacentral:lncRNA from 1 species